GAGACAAACCAAUAUGGGAUCACAGAAAGAGGUGCAGAUUCAUCACAGAAAAUCUGAAAAUUAUGAGCAGACUGCAGACAAAUAUUAUCCUUUGUUACAAUAGGGUGAUUUAUAUUUUAUUAAAUGGAGAAAGGAAAAUGCCAAAGGGAAAGACAAAGAGAGAAAAGAAAGGAACAGAAAGAAAUUAAUAUUAUUGGGUGGUACAUGGGGAAUAAAAAGGAAAUAAAGGUAAAGGAAUCUUCCUCUGCUACACAUGCAAUGCAACAAUCUGUUACACAAUCUCUUUCUAUUGUCAGAUUUAUUCAGAAAAAAUAUCUCCUCAAUUUGUACAUCACUAACCUUCAUAAUCUUUUUUCUUUUUUAAAUAAAAGGGUAUUUUAAUUUUUAAAAGCUAUCACAAAAAUUAAUUGAUUAAUUUAAAAAAUUAAUUUCACUUGUUUUUAUGAACCAUUUGCUUUAGAAAAACCUCAUGAAUUUCAACUUAAUUAUGUAAGAGAGAAAGUGAAUUUUUGAAAAAAAUUAAAUAAAUGGGUAUUUGGAAUUAUUGUUAUUACUUGUGACUUGAGAGAGACUGUAACUCAAUUAUGUAUAAAGGAUAUUGAAAAGAAGGUAUACACUAGCACUUUAAUUAUUAUGAGAAUUAAUCAUAACAAAAUGCAUAUAUAAUUAUAGAAGCUCUAAAUCUACAAAGGGGUUAAUUAACCAUAAAUUAAUAUCACUUAAUUAGGAGAAAGAAUAUAUAGAUAUAUUGCUGCAUUGUAAUUAUUGUAUAAUGAAUGAAUUUUCAUUGAAUUGUUGUAACAAAAAAAAAAUGAAGUUAAUUAUCACCCAUAAUUAACAAGCAUUGCCUCAAAAAGCCUCAAUAGUUGUACUUUACCUUAGAAGUCAUAGUUCCAGAUUCAUGAGAAAGACAUCAAAAGGGAAAAUGUGCCUGAAACUGAAAGGGAAAACAAAACAAAAAUAUUAAAGAUAUAAAUAUGAAUCCAUAUAUAUAGUGUUUAAGCAGCACAAGGCUUGAGAUCACUAAAAGAAGAAGCUAGAAGGGAAUUAAAUUGUAUUUUUACUGUUGUUAAGAACAGUAAAAGUGUAUCAUCUUUUAGUAUAUAGUAAUAAUUCAAGAACUGAAACCAUGGUAGUAGCUAAUAGAAAUCAAAUGAACAUCAAAGUCCUGAAUUGCCAUGUUCUCCCACAGCUUUCUUGAACUUCUAUGCCACACAUCAAGAAGGCUAUAUACCAAGAAGAAGAAGAAGAAGAAGUUCAAGAAAGCUGUGGAAAAGCAUGACAGGACUUUUUCCCAUUUCUCUACUCUCUCUUCAUUCCAUGACCAUACCUCACAGCUCUCUCUCUUAUAGAAUAGAACACAAUUAAGCUCUCAAGAGAAAAGGGAGAAGGAAAAUAGAGGAAGGUGACAAAAGAGACAGAAUUAGGAGGACCCUUGUCUAGAGAAUGGAAGGAGGACCACCAUAGCUACCAUAUCAUAUUCAAAAGCAUAAUAUUGAUGAUGAUAAGAAAGGAGGUUGGGGAGGGUGAAGAAGGGUAAGUUGUAAGGUUUUUAUUUCACAUUAGAACAUGCUUAUGAGUGGCCACUGUCUGCAGGCCAGUAGGGUAGGUAGAUAUGGAACAAAUUAAAACAAGGCUGGCUACCAGGAUUAUUAUUUUUGUUUUCUCCUCUCCUUUAAUGUAAAAAAAAAA
rnacentral:misc_RNA from 1 species